GUGCUGGCUUUGUAGCACAUAUGCUAAAAUUGGAACGAUACAGACAAGAUUAGCAUGGCCCCUACACAAGGAUGACAUGCAAAUUUGUGAAAUUUUCCAUUAAAAA
ensembl:snRNA U6 U6 spliceosomal RNA